GGAGGACCUUUCCCUUAAAGUCUAGAUAAAAGGUCAGCUUGAAUCCUGCUUUGACUUGUCAGGACUCAUCAAGCCAACAUCUCAAAAUGAGGUUCCCUGCUCAGCUCCUGGGGCUGCUAGUGCUUUGGUUCCCUGGAUCCAGUGCGGAUGUCAUGAUGACACAGACCCCUCUGUCCCUGCCCGUCACCCCUGGAGAGCCGGCCUCAAUCUCCUGCAGGGCCAGUCAGAGCCUCCUGCACAGUAAUGGAAACACCUAUUUAAGUUGGUACCUGCAGAAGCCAGGCCAGUCUCCACGGCGCCUGAUCUAUAAGGUUUCCAACCGGGGCUCUGGGGUCCCAGACAGGUUCAGUGGCAGCGGGUCAGGGACAGAUUUCACCCUGAGAAUCAGCAGGGUGGAGGCUGACGACGUCGGAGUUUAUUACUGCCAGCAAGGUACAAAGAAUCCUCCCACUGUGGUUCAGCCCAGAACACAAACCUCCCUUCCUGGGGGUCCAGCUGCCCGAGCAUGUGGCCUCUCUGGGGAACACACAGGACGUUCUCUGAGUCUGUGUAAGAGGAAGGUGCUGUAGAACCCGGGGAACAGCCUGCAGCUGCACAGUACGGCCCCGUCAGCUGCACAGCCUGGCAGGCAGCAUCAGAAGGGAAAUUCAAGAGGUCCUGUCCUGUGAGGAACCGGUCAGGGGGAAGGGAAGAGCCAAUGACAGCUGCACCUGAUCCCCGGUCCCCGCCUGUGUUUUCAAUUAAAUGCAGCCAGUCUAGUCACCAGACAAGUCACACAGAUAUUUGGUGACAAAUUCAUCCAUACUGCAGAUGAACAGUGUGGGGUAUGUUUUCCACAGCAUUGUAGUUGCUAAUAUUGGUAAUGUUGAUAUUUUCUCACUUUCUCUUUUUCUUACUUCUCUGUGACUCCCUGUCCCCUGCAUUCAUAUGUUCAAGAGAGCACUUGGCACAAGCUGUCCUCACCGAGAGUAUGGAUGAGAAAGGUUCGUAACGAUGUUUAAUUCUGGUAAAAUCAAAUUAGCCUUUUGAAAAUCUUCUGUAAAUAUAAUAAGAUUCCAGUGCCAAGA